rnacentral:rRNA from 1 species
GACGAACGCUGGCGACGUGCUUAACACAUGCCAGUCGAACGGAAAGGCCCUGCUUUUGUGGGGUGCUCGAGUGGCGAACGGGUGAGUAACACGUGAGUAACCUGCCCUUGACUUUGGGAUAACUUCAGGAAACUGGGGCUAAUACCGGAUAGGAGCUCCUGCCGCAUGGUGGGGGUUGGAAAGUUUCGGCGGUUGGGGAUGGACUCGCGGCUUAUCAGCUUGUUGGUGGGGUAGUGGCUUACCAAGGCUUUGACGGGUAGCCGGCCUGAGAGGGUGACCGGCCACAUUGGGACUGAGAUACGGCCCAGACUCCUACGGGAGGCAGCAGUGGGGAAUAUUGCACAAUGGGCGGAAGCCUGAUGCAGCAACGCCGCGUGCGGGAUGACGGCCUUCGGGUUGUAAACCGCUUUCGCCUGUGGCGAAGCGUGAGUGACGGUAAUGGGUAAAGAAGCACCGGCUAACUACGUG